GACCUCAUAGNAAGCUUGCUUUUUAUGNGGUUAGCGGCGGACGGGUGAGUAACACGUGGGUAACCUGCCCUAUAGACCGGGAUAACUCGCGGAAACGCGUGCUAAUACCGGAUAACACAGCGGAGCGCAUGCUCCGGUGUUGAAAGGUGGUUCUGCUACCGCUAUAGGAUGGGCCCGCGGCGCAUUAGCUGGUUGGUGGGGUAACGGCCUACCAAGGCGACGAUGCGUAGCCGACCUGAGAGGGUGAUCGGCCACACUGGGACUGAGACACGGCCCAGACUCCUACGGGAGGCAGCAGUAGGGAAUCUUCCACAAUGGGCGAAAGCCUGAUGGAGCAACGCCGCGUGAGCGAAGAAGGUCUUCGGAUCGUAAAGCUCUGUUGUAAGGGAAGAACAAGUGCGGUAGUAACUGACCGCACCCUGACGGUACCUUACGAGAAAGCCACGGCUAACUACGUGCCAGCAGCCGCGGUAAUACGUAGGUGGCGAGCGUUGUCCGGAAUUAUUGGGCGUAAAGCGCGCGCAGGCGGUCUCUUAAGUCUGAUGUGAAAGCCCCCGGCUCAACCGGGGAGGGUCAUUGGAAACUGGGAGACUUGAGUGCAGGAGAGGGAAGCGGAAUUCCAUGUGUAGCGG
rnacentral:rRNA from 1 species